GAUGAACGCUAGCUACAGGCUUAACACAUGCAAGUCGAGGGGUAGCAGGGUAGCAAUACCGCUGACGACCGGCGCACGGGUGAGUAACACGUAUCCAACCUACCAUUCACACGGGGAUAGCCUUUCGAAAGAAAGAUUAAUACCCGAUAGUAUAGCGAGAGGGCAUCCUUUUGCUAUUAAAGAAUUUCGGUGUUUGAUGGGGAUGCGUUCCAUUAGAUUGUUGGUGAGGUAACGGCUCACCAAGUCUUCGAUGGAUAGGGGUUCUGAGAGGAAGGUCCCCCACAUUGGAACUGAGGCACGGUCCAAACUACUACGGGAGACAGCAGUGGGGAAUAUUGGUCAAUGGACGAGAGUCUGAACCAGCCAAGUAGCGUGAAGGAUGAAGGCCCUAGGGGUCGUAAACUUCUUUUAUAGGGGAAUAAAGUGCGGAACGUGUUCCGCUUUGUAUGUACCCUACGAAUAAGGAUCGGCUAACUCCGUGCCAGUAGCCGCCGUAA
rnacentral:rRNA from 1 species